AAGAAUAGAGUGAUGGUCAUCAGAAUUAGCUGAGGCAGAAGAGGAGGCAAAAUGGUAAUCUGGAAGGUUGGUUUAUGGCAAAUUCAUUAGGCACUCCUUGGGAAAUCUCAACUGUGUGGUAGAAUUUGAAGAAAACUGUUUUUGCUAAUAGAAAGUCAGUAAAAUCCAGUAAAAUGCUGGUUUUGUGACUGCCUCCCCUCCCCCAUCCCCCUGCAGACUGGUGUGAUCAGAGAAAAAUAGGCCGCGUUUGCUCAAAUGGUUACUAAAUAACUCUUGUUUUCAAGGAUAGCUUUAAAGAAAAAAAGAAUGUACAAAAUGCCACUUGAGAGAUGUGUAAUUUGAAAAGAAAAAGAAUGGUUGUUCUUUUUUGAUUUGCUGUUGUUGGGGUAAUUUCAGACUAUUUUAAAAUAUUCACUGGUAAAGUCUCUUUCAUGUGCGUCUGUGUGAAGAGACCACCAAACAGGCUUUGUGUGAGCAACAUGGCUGUUUAUUUCACCUGGGUGCAGGUGGGCUGAGGCCGAAGAGAGUCAGCAAAGGGAGACAAGGGUGGGGCCAUUUUAUAGGAUUUGGGUAAGUAAAGGAAAAUUACAGUCAAAGGGGGUUUGUUCUCUGGCAGGUAGGAGUGGGGGUCGCAAGGUGCUCAGUGGGGGUGCUUUUUGAGCCAGGAUGAGCCAGGAAAAGGACUUUCACAAGGUAAUGUCAUCAGUUAAGGCAAGGACCGGCCAUUUACACUUCUUUUGUGGUGGAAUGUCAUCAGU
rnacentral:lncRNA from 1 species